rnacentral:rRNA from 1 species
UGAACGCGCGCAUGCUACACUGCAAGUCGACGGCAGCGGGGAAAGCUGCUUGCUGCGUGAGUGCGAACGGUGAGUAAUACAUCGGAACGUGCCUGUAGUGGGGAUAACUAGUCGAAAGAUUAGCUAAUACCGCAUACGACUGAGGGUGAAAGUGGGGGACCGCAAGGCCUCAUGCUAUAGGAGCGGCCGAUGUCUGAUAGCUAGUUGGUGGGGUAAAGGCCCACCAGGCGACGAUCAGUAGCUGGUCUGAGAGGACGAUCAGCCACACUGGGACUGAGACACGGCCCAGACUCUACGGGAGGCAGCAGUGGGGAAUUUUGGACAAUGGGCGAAAGCCUGAUCCAGCAAUGCCGCGUGUGUGAAGAAGGCCUUCGGGUUGUAAAGCACUUUUGUCCGGAAAGAAAUGGCUCUGGUUAAUACCUGGGGUCGAUGACGGUACCGGAAGAAUAAGGACCGGCUAACUACGUGCCAGCAGCCGCGGUAAUACGUAGGGUCCAAGCGUUAAUCGGAAUUACUGGGCGUAAAGCGUGCGCAGGCGGUUGUGCAAGACCGAUGUGAAAUCCCCGAGCUUAACUUGGGAAUUGCAUUGGUGACUGCACGGCUAGAGUGUGUCAGAGGGGGGUAGAAUUCCACGUGUAGCAGUGAAAUGCGUAGAGAUGUGGAGGAAUACCGAUGGCGAAGGCAGCCCCCUGGGAUAACACUGACGCUCAUGCACGAAAGCGUGGGGAGCAAACAGGAUUAGAUACCCUGGUAGUCCACGCCCUAAACGAUGUCAACUAGUUGUUGGGGAUUCAUUUCCUUAGUAACGUAGCUAACGCGUGAAGUUGACCGCCUGGGGAGUACGGUCGCAAGAUUAAAACUCAAAGGAAUUGACGGGGACCCGCACAAGCGGUGGAUGAUGUGGAUUAAUUCGAUGCAACGCGAAAAACCUUACCUACCCUUGACAUGCCACUAACGAAGCAGAGAUGCAUUAGGUGCUCGAAAGAGAAAGUGGACACAG